GUAAGUUUGACAGUUGACUUCACAAGAGUUAGGAGCAUUAAUUCUGAAAAUAAAUUAAUUGAGAAUAAAUAAAUGUCCUUAAGUGAAAAUAAAGCAUAGCAGUAAAACAUUAAAAAGUGAAUAUUGCAGUAAAAUAAAAAAGGCACUAAAAUUACAGUGAGUAUCUGAGGCAGAAAAAAAGAGACUAGACCAAAUUGUUAGUUGAUAUAAUUCACUGGAAGGACACCUGCAUGGAACACGGACAGCCUUUUCGUUGAUAUCUUUCCCAGGGAGCAAUGUCUCAGACACUGUAUUGGCAAUUCUUUCCCGGUGUGGUGGUUUUCUCAAACUAUGGUGCUACUAAGGAUUUUCUUGGGAGACCUUGUGACUGCAUUGGCUGGUUGGAGCUGUGUUUGAGAGGCAAGAUACCUUUCCGACUCAGAGGGAAAGAAAACUCAAAUUUAUUCCAGAUAUAAUUUUAAAAAUAGCCUCUAUGGGCUAUAUGCUCAGAUCAGGUGAACUGGUGAGGACUUUGCUGCUCAUGGGUUCUGCAUGAGGAUGCUGCUUCUCUUCCAGAAUUGUCAUCCCUUAUUUUCACUUUGCAGAGUGAACAUGACUAUGUGGAAAGAAGAAGAGGGAGGACUCAUGGACAGGGGACUUGAUUCUUGCCUUGCAGUAGUUUUACUACGUGUCCCUCCAUUGAACUUGCUAGGAUUAGAUCAGCGUGAGUGUGGAUUUCUAGCUGCGCAUAUUCUUGAUUUUACUUGUGGAUAUUAUGGCAAUCAACAUGUUUGCAGUGUGGGAUGUGUCCUUCAGCUGUACUGGGAUUUGGAGAGAGAGAGAGAGAGUGAGAGAGAGAGAGCAACCCUAACGAUGAGCAAAAGCAACAGAGCCGGGGCUGACCCCACCACCAUACUUUUGAGUUGAUUUGUCCGUACGUGUCUUAGUUUCAUACUAAAAAAAUUCAUGACUUGAUAGGUUCUGGCAGAAGUAGUG
rnacentral:lncRNA from 1 species